UACAGAGGGUGCGAGCGUUAAUCGGAAUUACUGGGCGUAAAGCGCGCGUAGGCGGCUUUGCAAGUCGGGUGUGAAAUCCCUCAGCUCAACUGAGGAAGUGCGCCCCGAAACUGCAGAGCUUGAGUACCGGAGAGGAUGGUGGAAUUCCCCAAGUAGAGGUGAAAAUUUGUAGAUAUGGGGGAGGAACACCGGUGGCGAAGGCGACCAUCUGGACGGAUACUGACGCUGAGACGCGAAAGCGUGGGGGAGCAAACAGG
rnacentral:rRNA from 1 species